UGGUCAAGUUAUUAAGGGUGCAGGGCGGAUGCCUUGGCACUAGGAGCCGAUGAAGGACGUGAUAAGCUGCGAUAAGCUUCGGGGAGUUGCACGUAAACUUUGAUCCGAAGAUUUCCGAAUGAGGAAACUCACUUAGAGUAAUGUCUAAGUAUCAUUAAGUGAAUACAUAGCUUAAUGAGGGGAACUCAGGGAACUGAAACAUCUAAGUACCUGAAGGAAGAGAAAGAAAUUCGAUUCCGUAAGUAGCGGCGAGCGAACGCGGAUUAGCCCAAACCAAUAAAGUUUUCUUUAUUGGGGUUGAGGACAUACCACAUAUAAGAGGUCAUUAUAGACGAAGAAGUUUGGAAAAACUCAUCAUAGAAGGUAAUAAUCCUGUAGUCAAAAUAAUAAUUCUUUAGGUAUGAUCCAGAGUACCACGGGACACGUGAAACCCUGUGGGAAGCAGGAGGGACCACCCUCCAAGGCUAAAUACUACCUAGUGACCGAUAGCGUAUAGUACCGUGAGGGAAAGGUGAAAAGAACCCCGGGAGGGGAGUGAAAUAGAACCUGAAACCCUGCACUUACAAGCUGUGGAAGCACAUUUCUUGUGUGACCGCGUACUUUUUGUAGAACGGGCCAACGAGUUACGUUAAGUAGCAAGGUUAAGCACUUAAGGUGUGGAGCCGUAGCGAAAGCGAGUUUUAACUGAGCGUUCAGUUACUUGACGUAGACCCGAAACCGGGCGACCUACCCAUGAGCAGGAUGAAGCGAAAGUAAAAUUUCGUGGAGGUCCGAACCCACGAGCGUUGAAAAGCUCGGGGAUGACUUGUGGGUAGCGGUGAAAUUCCAAUCGAGCCCGGAGAUAGCUGGUUCUCCCCGAAAUAGCUUUAGGGCUAGCCUCAAGGUGAGAGAUACGGAGGUAGAGCACUGAAUGUCCUAGGGGGUAUUGCACCUACCGAAGACUAUCAAACUCCGAAUGCCGUCAUCUUAUACUUGGGAGUCAGACUGUGGGUGAUAAGAUUCAUAGUCGAAAGGGCAACAGCCCAGAUCGUCAGCUAAGGUCCCUAAAUGUAAGUUAAGUGGUAAAGGAUGUGGGAUUGCACAGACAACCAGGAUGUUGGCUUAGAAGCAGCCACUCAUUCAAAGAGUGCGUAAUAGCUCACUGGUCGAGUGAUCCUGCGCCGAAGAUUUCCGGGGCUAAAACUUACUACCGAAGCUACGGCAUCAGUAAUGAUGGGUAGGGGAGCUUCCCAUACGGGUUGAAGCAUGACCGUAAGGACAUGUGGACAGUAUGGGAGUGAGAAUGUUGGCAUGAGUAGCGAGAUGUGGGUGAGAAUCCCACAGGCCGUAAACCCAAGGUUUCCAGGGGAAGGUUCGUCCGCCCUGGGUUAGUCGGGACCUAAGCUGAGGCCGAAAGGCGUAGGUGAUGGACAACAGGUUGAUAUUCCUGUACUACCGAUAACCGUUUGAGAGAAGGGAUGACACAGUAGGAUAAGCUAAGCACACUGUUGGUUAUGUGUGCCCAAGCAUUGAGGCAGUCAAAGUAGGCAAAUCCGCUUUGAUAAUGCUGGGAUGUGAUGGGGAGCGAAAUUUAGUAGCGAAGUAGCUGAUUUCACACUGUCAAGAAAAGUCUCUAUCGAGGUUAAAGGUACCCGUACCGCAAACCGACACAGGUGGGUGAGGAGAGUAUCCUAAGGCCAGCGAGAGAACUGUUGUUAAGGAACUCGGCAAAAUGACCCCGUAACUUAGGGAUAAGGGGUGCCACCAUCAGGUGGCCGCAGAGAAUAGGCCCAAGCGACUGUUUACCAAAAACAUAGGUUUCUGCUAAGUCGCAAGACGAUGUAUAGGAGCUGACGCCUGCCCGGUGCUGGAAGGUUAAGGGGAUCUGUUAGAGCAAUCGAAGCAGUGAACUUAAGCCCCAGUAAACGGCGGCCGUAACUAUAACGGUCCUAAGGUAGCGAAAUUCCUUGUCGGGUAAGUUCCGACCCGCACGAAAGGCGUAACGAUUUGGGCACUGUCUCAACAACAGACUCGGUGAAAUUGUAAUUCCGGUGAAGAUGCCGGAUACCUGCGACAGGACGGAAAGACCCCAUGGAGCUUUACUGUAGCUUGACAUUGGGUCUUGGUACUACAUGUACAGGAUAGGUGGGAGGCUUUGAAACCAGGACGCCAGUUUUGGCGGAGCCAUCCUUGGGAUACCACCCUUGUAGUACUGGGACUCUAACCAUAGGCCAUGAAUCUGGUCUUGGGACACUGUCAGGUGGGCAGUUUGACUGGGGCGGUCGCCUCCCAAAAGGUAACGGAGGCGCUCAAAGGUUCUCUCAGUACGGUCGGAAAUCGUACGUAGAGUGUAAAGGCAAAAGAGAGCUUGAUUGCAAGACAUACAGGUCGAGCAAGGAUGAAAAUCGGACUUAGUGAUCCGGUGGUUCUGCGUGGAAGGGCCAUCGCUCAACGGAUAAAAGCUACCCUGGGGAUAACAGGCUUAUCUCCCCCAAGAGUCCACAUCGACGGGGAGGUUUGGCACCUCGAUGUCGGCUCAUCACAUCCUGGGGCUGUAGUAGGUCCCAAGGGUUGGGCUGUUCGCCCAUUAAAGUGGUACGCGAGCUGGGUUCAGAACGUCGUGAGACAGUUCGGUCCCUAUCCGUCGCAGGCGUAGGAAAUUUGAGAAGACCUGUCCUUAGUACGAGAGGACCGGGAUGGACGUACCUCUGGUGUACCAGUUGUCCUGCCAAGGGCAUGGCUGGGUAGCUAUGUACGGAAUGGAUAAGCGCUGAAAGCAUCUAAGCGCGAAGCCAACUUCAAGAUAAGAUUUCCCACCGCAAGGGUAAGACCCCAGAAAGACUAUCUGGUUGAUAGGUCGAAGGUGUAAGUGCAGCAAUGUAUUUAGCUUAUCGAUACUAAUAGGUCGAGGACUUGACCAAU
rnacentral:rRNA from 1 species